AAUAAAGUCACUGGAAGGAAAAAGGGGGGAGAGAGAGGCUUGGUGGUGCCAGGCCAAGAUUCCAGGGCUACGAUUCCAGGCCACAGUCCGGGUUAUACGAGAGAGUGGAAACGAAUGGAAGACGUGUCCUCCAAAGCCUGGGUGGCGCCUACAUCAGCCACAGGGCUUGAAUUCUGUAAAACAUUCAGACGUCAUGACUAUGUAACCUGAGACAGCCUUAAUUCCUAGGUUUGUUGGUUCUAAAUUCAUCUUUCCAAACGAUCUGAGGCACUCCCUGGUAUUUUGCUCCUCCUCCUACCUGCCCCCUGCGUCCUCACCUCCACCCCUGCCUGGACCCAGCUACCACGGCUGCCUCAUGUCAUCCUGAACCAGCAUUUGCCUCUGUUCAGCAGGAGGGACAAGAUGCUAAAGACAAGUAGGGCUCAAGUUUGUCCAUGCCUCGUCAAUCCCCAAUCCUCCCAGCCCUACUGAACUCAGAAGUACCAACCGCGAAGGUUCUGUUUGAUGGUUCCCAUCAAGGAUAAAACUGAAAAUAGAAAGCCUUCAGUUGCUGACUGUGAGAUAAACUCGCCUAAGCAGCCUGCCAAAAGCAGCAGAUCAUAUGAAAAGCCACAUGACUAACCAGAAAUAAUUGGAGCUUAAAAGAUGCCAGAGUCGAUGAGUAAGAUUUCUUUCAACAAAAGAUUUACUUAAAGCAAAUUCACCCACUCACAAGUUCUUAAGUGCCAUCAUCUUUUAACCUUGGGAUAUUUCACUUGCUCUGGUGUGGUUUCAUUGACACAGAAAUGUCAGCCUUUAAUGGCUAUAACUAGUUGUCUAUUUAUUUCUCUGUUCAACAUAUCUUCAAAGUUUA